rnacentral:rRNA from 1 species
UAAGGAAUAUUGGUCAAUGGACGCAAGUCUGAACCAGCCAUGCCGCGUGAAGGAUUAAGGUCCUCUGGAUUGUAAACUUCUUUUAUCUGGGACGAAAAAAGGCGAUUCUUCGUCACUUGACGGUACCAGAUGAAUAAGCACCGGCUAACUCCGUGCCAGCAGCCGCGGUAAUACGGAGGGUGCAAGCGUUAUCCGGAUUCACUGGGUUUAAAGGGUGCGUAGGCGGGCAGGUAAGUCAGUGGUGAAAUCCUAGAGCUUAACUCUAGAACUGCCAUUGAUACUAUCUGUCUUGAAUAUUGUGGAGGUAAGCGGAAUAUGCCAUGUAGCGGUGAAAUGCUUAGAUAUGACAUAGAACACCUAUUGCGAAGGCAGCUUACUACGCAUAUAUUGACGCUGAGGCACGAAAGCGUGGGGAUCAAACAGGAUUAGAUACCCUGGUAGUCCACGCCCUAAACGAUGAUUACUCGACAUUUGUGAUACACUAUAAGUGUCUGAGCGAAAGCAUUAAGUAAUCCACCUGGGAAGUACGACCGCAGGGUUGAAACUCAAAUGAAUUGACGGGGUCAUAGCUGUUUCCUG